GACUCCAUAGCUAAGUGGUUAUAGCAUGAGAUUGCAGUUAUUCACGUGUGGAGUGUAUUGUAACCUAUCUCGGGGUCGCGUGUUCGAGUCACGCUGGGGUCU